AGAACCAAGAUGCCUGCCUCCUUCCGAGCCUUGCUCCGGAUGAUCAGGAUGGGAAGGAACCUUCAUAGGUCCACAUGGCAGGAUGACAGUGCACAUGCAGAGCCACCCUCACGGACCACUCCUGUCCAGCAUCCCUGGAGAUGGAAACAGAAGCCAAGGUACAGAGAGGCGUGAUUAGCAAAGGCCGCUCCACCUCUAGCUCCCGCUUCCUGGCCAAGGAAAAGGGACUGAGGCACCGACAUCUGUACAGCCUGGUGGGGCGCUGAAAAUAUGAUGCUGAGUGACAAAGAAGCCAGACGCAGGGCUGGAGAGAUGGCUCAGCGGUUAAGAGCACCGACUGCUCUUCCAGAGGUCCUGAGUUCAAUUCCCAGCAACCACAUGGUGCCUCACAACCAUCCGUGAUGGGAUCUGAUGCCCUCUUCUGGUGUGUCUGAAGACAGCUACAGUGUACUCACAUACAUGAAAUAAAUAAAUAAAUCUU
rnacentral:lncRNA from 1 species